AUGCAUGUGGGAGCACUAGAUUCCUUGCAAGGCACAGUUACAUGGUUCUGCCAUGGUACCAAAAUGUGCGGUUUUGUCAUCCAAAUUGAUAAUGCAUGUGGAUCAUAGUUUGAUUGGUUGGAAUGAUUUCUAAUAAUUGAUCAGAUAAAUUAUUUUUUUAUUGAAAAGUUUAUUUUAUAACAAUGAUGCAUAGGUAAGAAAUCUCUAAACAUUUGAACUUUUUUCCUUCAUGAGUUUUGUUUCCAGGUGAUUUAAAUGAUUCGAAAUUUGUUGGGUGAUUUAGGUGGCUUGCCGUGUAUUUUCACAUCAUGGCAUAGCUAUUUUAGUCAUACCUUAGAAACAAUAAUAACUCCAUAUAUAUAUUCUUGUACGCAUAUAUGCAGUGAUAUAUGCAAUCCAACUGCUAGGAAUUGAGCUAAUAUUAUUGUAGGGUUCUAACAUGUCAUAAUGGGCAGCGGAAGCUAGGGAUUUUAAAAUUUUCUUAAUAAAGUCCCUUAACAUGAAACCCUUAUAAGCCUAGAUCACCUUAAUUGUAACAAUCAAAUAAUAUAUAAAUAUAAAUGUAGGAAUAGAAGAAUACCUCUAACGCUAAUCCAAUAUGAAUGAUCUCUACGAGGCGUCCAAGUGUCCGCCCUUCAAUGGUGAUCCACACGAAAACUUGAUUCAAAACUUUGGCUCCAAAGACUUUGAUACUUAAUUAAAAAUCCUUCCAAAGGAUUUAAUUUGGCUUGCUUUCUUUUCUCUCUAUUUUUCUUUCACCUUCUAAAAUCACUUCUAAUCUUUUUGUCCUAAAGAAGACCACCUUGUCUUGGCUUAGGACACACUAGAAGCAAUGCUAGAAAGAAGGAACUAAUGUAAGAAAGAAAGAAGAGAGGAGUGCGGUGGAGUUGGAAUUGAUUUCCGAUGGAUGACAUACGGUGGAAUGGCUCCCCUUUUAUGGAUGGCGUACGGAUGCAUGUUAAAGGGACACAUCUCAUCCACAUGUCCCUUGAUGAAGGGGCGUGAUCACUCAUGAAGGGCGCUUAUCAAAAAAGGGGAGGCGUAUCCAUGAAGAGGCGUGAUAAGAUGAAGCGCUAGAUAAGGUGCUUCAUUCUUAUCCAAACGCCAUGUGGUCCCCUCCCUUCUCACGCCAUCACAAAAGGUUCUUCACGCCAUCAGAUAAGAUCAAAUCCUUCUCAAGUUGACCAAGUCAAAAUCAUAUGCAAAUCACAUGCCCAUCAUGCCAUCUCAUCAUCACAUGAUGAAGAUCUAAAGGCUCCAAUGCAAGGCGCCAUUAUGUCUUCAUCCAAUGGUGGAGUGAAGAUCCAAUGGCUCUAAUUCAAGGUGCCCCAUCAUGAUCACAUUAUCUAUUCAUCCAAUGGCUGAUGAAGAUCAAAUGGUCAUGAUUAAAAGCCACAUCUAACCCAAUCCAAUUGGGUUCAAAUCAACUCACCAUUAUGUCUUCAUCCAAUGGUAGAUGAAGAUCUAACGGUCUAAAAUGAAUGAUUUAUCAAAUCUAAUCCAAUUAGACUCAAACCAAACCAAUUUAGUGCCAACUCUUGGCUAACUCAUA
rnacentral:lncRNA from 1 species